rnacentral:lncRNA from 1 species
GCUAAAUUGCCCGGCGACGGUAGAAGAGGAGCAGUAGAGCAAAGUAAUAUUGCGAUAAGUAGGAAUUUCAUUGAAGAGAUUGUAAUCGAUUGUGGUGUUGAUGAAUUUCUUAGGGCAGAGCGUACCCAUAUAAUCGGUUCUGGCGAUGGUGAGCGUUUGGAAGUUAUUUUGGAAGCUGUAUUUGAGAAUCUGAUAUUUAAUUUCCAUAAUAACGAUCGUCGUAUUACUACCUUCGCAGGCCAAUUGGAGUGCCGGAUAGCCGCAGUCGGGAGGCCUUCCGACGCCCCAGAAGGGGAAGCCGACGUUGGUGAUAUUGCCGCAGUUGAAGAGGUUGCUGCAGGAGCUGUAUAAAUCUAAGGGGUUUCCAAAGACGAAGGGAAGGGAAAAGGCAAAUAAAAGAAGGAAUGAGGAAAUUGGGGAAUCCAUUGAAGAACAGAGAAAGGGAAUUUUGAUCAGAUGGGUGGUUGUUCCAUUGGAGAAGAGAAGGGGAUGAGGUAUUGCCUAUUGGUAUUGGACUCUAUGAAAGUUGACUUGGUAUGGCAUUUGGGUCUUUGAAUGGGUUUAUGUUUUGUGGAAAUUUAAAGUUUAAUCAUAUUUGGAGGACAUUGAAAUUGGUGUGGUUUGGGGAAAUUUGUAUUUUAAUGAAAAAAUAAAAAUGUGGGAAUGUUGACUUGUGUUUUGGUGGUGUUGUGUUAAGGGAAGAAGAGAUGGAAAGUUUUUAUUGCAAUUUGUAACCUAUUAAGGGAAGAAGAGAUGGAAAGUUUUUAUUGCAAUUUGUAACCUAUUAAGAGUGAAGGAUUCAACGGCUUGAUUGUGGCAUCACUUUUGAGUUCAGGAGAGAAAAGUGAGUUGGUGGAUAGAGAAAACGGUGUAUGGAGAGGCACUAGUAAGUUGCUGAAGAAAUUUUGUCAUCCAAGAGAUAUGAAAGAUAAGUAAAUCAAAACGAGAAGAACGAACCCAAAAAUGUUCUCAUAUUGAGGGCGAAUUGGUAAUUAAAACUGAUUGAAAACAUGAGUAUAAAACAAAAGAAAAAAAGUGAAUAUUAUAGUUGUUUAAAGAUAAGUGAUUAUGCCUCUGUUACAUUCCAGGUUUAUAGCAUCAAGGAAGAAAAGUGGGAUGUAAGAGCUUUGUUUUACAUCGACCUAUUCGAACUCUUGAUAGACAUCUAAUCCAGUCGAAAAGAAAAUAUAAAAUUUUGGUUAUUCAUCUGAAACAACCAAUUGAAGCAUUUCACAUGAGAAUGUUAACUCAAGUAACAUUAAGGGAGUACCUAAUUCAGAUGUGAUAGAAGAGAGAAAAAAAGAGAAGAAGAAAGAGGAAUAAGAAAGACAAGGAAUGGUAGAGAAAGGAUUGGAAGUGAGGGAGUUGGUCACUCCAACAUUCUAUUUAACAAGUUAGCAAAAAGUGUGUAUUUUGAAAUAUUAAAUUUUACAAGGACAUUUAUCUAAGUGUCUCAAAGACAAAAGAAGGUAAGUAGAGGUGUGGUAUCUAGCUACACAUACUCUGACGCUCAAUACAAUAUUGUGUUUCUAAAUAACUAGACGUAAGAUAAAAUAGUAGGCUUUUCAAGCCUACAUUCGACUAAUGACUUGGUUGUUUAUAUAGUCAGGCUCAUAAUGCCUUUUAAAUUCUCAAAAUUGUCAAAUUAAUUCUAGAUGAAAAUUAAAUCAUUAUUAUUACAAUGGAUGAGACACUUAACGAUGUGCACUUUUCCAAAAUUUCAUAAUUCCCUUCAUGGUUCUCAUUUCGUUCAAAUUCAAAUUGUUCUGUAUUCAAUUUGCUUAGAGGUAUUUCUCCAUGAGUCCUUAGCUCCUUCUAAACUCUGCCUGAGGGUACUCUCCCUUGUAGAUCCUCUUCCUCUUGUGAGUCCCUCUUAGGAGGCUAGACAUUUCCAUUUCGAUCCUUCUUUUGUGAGCUACUCUUAGGUGGCUAGACUUUCUUAUGAGUUUUCUCUUUUUUGAUCUUCCUCCUCUGGGAGCUCCUCUUAGGAGGGCUAGGUUUUCCCUUGUGAGUCAUCCAACUCCUAGAAGUCCCUCUUAUGAGGGUAUAGGCUCUUCUCCUUUUGUCAGUCCCUCUUAGGAGGUCAAGAUUUUAUUCUUUGUGGGUCCUUCUCCUCCUAUGAACUCUUCUUAGAAGAUUAAUUAGGCUCUCCCACGUGGGUCUUCUUUUCAUGAGCUUUUUUAAUAGGCUAGGUUAACCUUCACGGUUUUCUUUCGCCUAUGAGUUCCUUUUAGGAAAAGCUAAGCUCCUUUAAGUUUACUCCUCUUGAGCUUACUUCAUGGACCUCAAUAAGUUAUUUAAGCUCCUUUCUCUAUGAUGCAACUAUUCCCUUGAGCUCUCUUCAAGAUUCAUAUGCGAUUACUCCUCUUAAGUUAUAACCUCUUGGGUCCUAUUGAGCUAUUUAAGCUCUCCCCAUGGAUGUUCUUUUUUUAGCUCUCUUUUAGACUCCUAUGAGCUUACUCCUCUUGAGUGUCUAUCUUAGAGAUCCAACUAAGUUAUUUAAGCACACUUCCAUGGGUGCUCUUCUUGAAUUCCCUCAUAAGAACUCCUCUUGAACCUUCUUCAUAAAGUCCCAUCAAGCUAGUUCUAAGCUUUCCUCGUGGGUACUCUUAAGCACCCAAUCUCUCAAUAGAUUAUGAGCUUUUUUUUUUUGCUAAGCUCUUCUCAUAGAUUUACCAAACUCUCUUGGAACUUGACUUAUGCUCUUGAGUAGGCUAAAAUUCACCCACACAUAAUUCUACAUCAGACUUCAAGGAUAAAAAAGAUAUUUUGUUCCAAAUUUAAUACUAUAUAUUUAAAUAUAAUUGAGUCAGUCUCGUAAAAGGUGAUGAAUGUUACUCAAUUUAUUUAUAAAAAACGUCCAUGUAUUUAGUUUUUAAUUGUUAUAUUUGACUAUGAUUAUAUAUUGUAUUGUGCACCAUAAGCUUCAUUCAUACCAAUAGUUUCUUGUCUGGAUGUCAGCAUUGAAGAAAAAAAAAGGCCUAAGUUUUGACUAUUUGACACGACUUGUGUGUGUAUUUUUUUCCUUUUCUCUCUCACAAAACUGGCAGACUUGGGAAACAGACUAACAAACAAAAAUUGUGUAUAUAUAUCACAAAGGACUUUGGAACUAAUCAAAGUACCUUAUUUUGGUUGUUGAUAGUGAUGCUAUAAGAUAACCAUGAAUUUUUUUUAAAAAAAUCGUCCGUAUAUAGGUAAUUUCAUGACCUGAUACAAGAUCAAAUAAUAUUUUCUUUCUUGGAAAAUCUUAAAUUGCCACACACCAAUAAUAUAUAUAUAUAUAUAUUAAAAAGAUGUUAAUAAUUCUUUUUUUAUCUUUAGAAUAAAAAGGAGUACGCAUUACUAAUUUUCAAGUAUUACUUCCAAAAUCAAACUUCUGAAAUAUGUUAAUUAUGAUUUUUAAGUCUAUAAGUUAUAUUUUGUUCUCAUUUUGUUUUCUUAUAUUUUAUUGUAUUGUUUUAUAAUAGAUAAAUGGUAUCAUAUCACAAAAAAAAAUUUGAAAAAAAAAAGUAGUUUAUAGCAUUUUUUUUUUUUUUGCAUACGGAAGAUAUGACAAAUAACUAGAUUCAUGUUUUUUGUUUUUGUUAUUCGUUUUGUGUUUGACAAUAUUUACGUUUUCUGUUUUUGUUUCUCAAUUUGUAUUUAAUGACUGUUUCUAUUUCUCGUUCCCAAAUUUUGAGGAACAUUUUUCAAAAUUGGGUUAAAGUUGAGACCUUCCUAGUUUUGUUUCUAUUUAUUUUAUUUAACGUUCCAUUCUUAAAAUUGUUAGUGGCUUAUUGGUAACUCUUUUUUUUAUUAAUUUUUCAUAAUUAUCUUUUCUAUUUAUAUGUUUUUUAUUUCUUAAUUUGUUUUUUUUCCUUCUAUUAUUAAUUUUUCAUAUGUUUAAUACUUUUUUGCCUCCCUUUAUUAGUUUUCAUAUUUAUAUGUUUAAUUUAAUUUUGGAUUUUAAAUCUUUUAAUAUUUAGAUCUAUGUAUUAUUUGGUUUUCAAAUUCAAAUUUCAUAUUUCAUAUUUAAUUUUAAUUUUUUUUAUUUAGCUACAUUUAUUUAUUUUUAUUUAGAAAUAAUUUUGAAUUUUAAACUCUUCCAAAUUUAAAUAUGUAAUAUGUUUAUUUUUCGUUUUCUUUUUCGUUUUUGAUUUGUUUUUUAAAUUUCUUAUCCAACUAUUCCAUUUGAUAUAAAAAAAUCCAAUUCUAAAUGUCAUAAUAGAAUUUAAUAUUGAUGUUUAAAAAAAUGAGUAACCUACCUUAAUGUCAUCUUGUCAUUGAAAUUAUGAAAUAAAUACUUGUUUACCCAAAUUGAUAUACUUAAAUUAUUCAAGUUCAUGACUAUUGUACACAUUAUAAUACUACCUAUUAUUAUACCAAGCCAUUUGUUUGGAGGCUUAUUCUGGAUAUUUUUGUCAGUCAUAUAAACUUGUUUAAGUCUUAUAAGAUUACAAUAUUUUCAUAAGUAUGUUUUCCUUAGAUUCAUGAUUUGUUUCCAAAAUAUGUUGACAGCAUACAUCAAACUAACAAGGAAAAGUUUUAUCUUGAGAAAGUUGCAAUGUGUAGCAACAAAAUAUAUUGCAAAUUGUCUAAAUGAAAAUUUAUAUCUACUUAUUGUUAAAAGGGGUAGCCAAAGGUUUUUAAUUCAUAUCCCACAAUUAUCACGAGAUACUUGCAUAUGGACAAUCACAUAUAAUAAAAUUUUUGAUCGAAAAGACAUUUAUGUUCUUUUGAGCAAUAGUAGAAAAAUACUCGCCAAGUCAUAUUAAAAGUUAUAUAAUGUAAUAGACUUUUCUUUCUUAAAAAUAUAUUUUAAAGUAUGUUCUAUAAGUGAAUGCAUGAAGAUGAAUGCAACACACUAUCACUUUGUGCAAUUAUGUCAAUUUUUCAAACAAACGGUAAACAAAAAAUAGAUUUAAAAGUGAUUUUAGAUGUUUAGAAUGAUUUUUGUGGAGGUUAAAAAUCACUUUGAAACAUCAUAUUAGAGUGUGUUUGGCAGUGGUUUUGGCAUAACUUUUCAUUGGCCAAAAUCACUUUUGUAGAAAAAUUUUGGUGUUUAACGGCCUAAAGAAAAUGAUUUUAGAAAAAUAAGAAAGGACUCAAAAUUGAUUUUUUGAAACAUUAUAUCAUCACCAUCACCACCGUCUUAUUUUAUAUAGUUUUUGAAAUAUAUCUAAAAUACCAUUACUAAAAUCAAACUCCCACUAUCACUUCCACACACCCUAAUUUAUUUAAUGGGGAACUUUAAAGUUUUAAAUUCAAUUUUCUUAGCAUGAAGAUUGAUUUUUAAUGAUUUAAACAUGUUUUUGCAGUAUCUUAAAAAUGAAAAAAAAAAAAGAAGAAAAAAAAGAAGAGAUUUUAUCCAUUUAUUGUUCAUUUACAAACGUGCCGUAGAAGAAAGCAAAGGUAGAACCAAACCUGAGUUGGCCGCAAAAGCAGACGAAUCGUGGGUGGCGACGCCACCAUCCCUUCGGCAAACUUCUACUGGAGAAGAAGAGAAACCACUCUCGCACAAACAUACCCCACGGCGGAGCUUCAAAUCAUAACCACAAAAGCCACCGGAAUCCGUACAGUCACUACCACAACCACCAUCGUCCACCUUCCAUUUUAGCUCAAACCCUUCUCUAAUGGCUUCUUCCAUCUUCAAAACUCCAACCAAAAUCCCCUCAUCGCCACGAACAGGAACAACCACGCUGGCCUUGCAGCCCCACAGCCCCAUUUCUUCCCCAAGCUUCACGAACCCAUCUCCAUGGAUGGGACACCCAAAUCUCAAGUGUGAAGGAACCACCAAAAGAGAUGAAUGACACCCAUAAAGCAGUGUUAGAUUCACGUAGCCAUUACUGAUUUCAAAGAGAUUUGGAUCUAGGGUCGUGUUCUUCAAAUGGUCUUCGGGGCAGAUUCCUUCGAAAUAAUCGUCUCGUGCGAUCCGGAGGGUUUUGGUUCUCUCAUCCACCUGUUAAUUAUAAUAUUGAAUGAAAGAAUGUUUAAAAUAUUCUUUUUACAAAAUGUUUAAAACAAUUAUGUAUUCAAUAUUUUUUUUCGAGUACCAUAGAUGUAUUUAAUUCAAAUCACAAACUCUGUGGACACAUUAACAUUCUCCUUUCCUCCUCUGAUUACAGUAAAAUAGUAUUUUUAUUCUAAAUUAUAUUAUACCAAAGAACAAUAUUUAGGUAUAGGCUAGGUCAUGUUCUCUUUUUAUACAAACUCAACGAAAAAAUAUUUCUUAAAUAUCAAUUUCGAUUUACAUAUAUCAAAUUUUAAUUGAGUUGCGGUAGAAUUUCAAAAAACACCAUUUACAUUUUUUUUUUAAUAUUAUUUUUAAAAGCACUUUUUGACAUGGGUUUUCUAAACUACAGGUAAAAUAUAGAUAACAAAAUAUAAAAGUUAGAGGUAAAAAUAGUAACAUUUAACUAUUAAAAACAAAAUGAUCACCAAACAGUACUUAUUCCAUCAUAGUAUAGAUCAAGGAGGUCACCUGCAAAACCCUAUAUUUCACUUGCAUUAUAUCGAUCCUGACAACGUUAUUAUCGCAGGUGAGCUUCAAAUCAGGAACUCCGCAGCUUGGCGGACGAUCUUUGCCCCAAAAAGGGAAGCCAACGUCAACAAUCUCCCCGCAGUUGAACACGGCGGAGCAAUAAUCUUUGUAUGUGCAGAAAGAUGGAGAGAUAUUUAAGAUUAUGAGAAAGAGUGAGGAAGAGAAGAAGGUCAAGAAGUUAUUCUUCAUUGGUGACUUGAAGAAGGAGAAGUUUGAGAGCAAUAAUUCAAUGGAAGGUUGCAAAAAGGGAGUCCCCCAAGGACUUUAACAAGACGGAAAUUAGGAUUAUUAUUAUCUGGAAAGCUUGUUGGACAUUAAUGAUAUGAUUUCAUUUUUAACUUUAAUGCUCCAACCGUUUUUCUCGUCUUUGAAUUCAUAUAUUCAUUUUUUAAUUGCCUCUUCGUGAGUUUUAUGUUUGGUGACAAAAGUGGAUUACGUCUGAUAGUAUAAGAGGUACAGUUUGGAAUCUUGUUUACUACUUACUCGAAUUAAUUACUUACUUUAAAAGUAUUAAAUGGGAGAUUGGAAUCAUAGGACGGUGGAAAUAAAAAUAAAAUAAGGGUUUUGUUUUUAAACAUGCUAAAAUGAACUAAAAUAUUGAUACAAUGUAGCAAAACAAGACUGUUUUUGUGAUAGAUCGUAAUAUAGUUCAUUACAUGUAUCAUCAAAUAGAUCGAAUAGUCAACAAAACGUAAUAUCUUGCUAUAUUUGUUAAUAUUAUUUUCAACCGUUCAUAUUUAUUUAAGAGAUUUUAGGUUAUAAAUCCCACCAUAUGUCUAGUAUUGGAAGACAACUUUACAACCUACAAAUUCUAUAUACUAAUGAAGUAGACUGUACAUGGACGUUGGUAGAAGUUGCUUUAAAGAGGGUUCUAAGGAGGGUAAUAUGGUUGAGAGGGUUAGAUGAUAUUGAUUUACAUCAUAAUUAGGCUAGUUUUGGGUGCAAUAUAAACAUAUAAGAAGUGUUUGGGGGAGGAAAAGGAAAAGGAAAAGGAAAUGACUUCGUUUCUUUUUUUAAAAUAUAAAUAUAUCUUUUAAAAUAUAAUUAUCUUUUCAUCUUUUGAUAAUAGUUAUAUAUGUAUAUAUCUAACAUAUACCUAUAAUUAUCAAAUUUCUAACAAAAUUUCUCUCUUUAAUUUAAUUAAACAAAUACCUAAAAAUAUUUAAUUAAAUUCAAAUUCAACACCAUUAUUAAAAAGCCAAGUUCAAUGACUAAUUAAAUAUUCGACCCAACAAAUAUUUAAUUAAUUUUAAUUUUACAAAACCACAAAUAUUCAAUCCAAUGAUCAUCUGUCCGCUUGAACUACAUGAUUCGUUUUUAUUUUGGUUUCUAUUGGUUUUUUAUUAUUUUGUUUUGCAUUAUCCUGAUGUAUGACGUAAUUGACAUCACCGUUUAAUUGCAUUCUAAAUAAAAAAAAAUUCAUAUUUCAUUUAGUUUCAAUGUUAUUAUGUUCCUUCUUAUUUGUUUAAAUCGAUUGCUAACAAUAUGCAAUUUUCCAAUAUUGUACUUACAACAUCAAUUUUAAAAAUAAAUAUAAUUUCUUUCGCACAUAACACAUCAAUUAAUUUAUUGGCACGGAAAGCUUGUGUACAAAACGUUCAAAAUUGACAUUGUAUUUACAAAAAACUAAUGGAACAUGUUUUCCAAUAAAAAAUCUAAAUUUCGGUAAAUUAAAAAUACCAAUAUUUGUGUAUUGGAUUUACUAUACAAUUUUUUAAAAAAACAAUAUUUCUUCUCCAAACAUUUGAAAAUGCAACGAAAAGAAAGAAAAAAAGAGCAUAUUUUUUAAUGUAUUGGAUUUACCUAUCAAAUUGAACUACAGAUUAAAGAAAAAUGAAAAAAAUAAAUAAUACAAUUUUUUUGUUAAUUGGAUUUUUCAAAACCAUAUUUUACAGGAAGCAAAACAGAGACUAAUACAAUUUUUUUUGUGUAUUGGAUUAAAUGAAAAAAAAAAACUUCACUUUUGAAAAUGCAUUGAGUCUACGUUACAAGUAAAAAAAUAUUUAUACAAAAUAAAAAAAAUAUUAAUACAAAUUUGUUGUGUAUUUGGAUUACAGUACAUGAGCUAAAAAAUGAAUUUGAAUACAAUUUUAGUUUUAUGGUACGAACAACAGACAACGAUUAAUACAAAUGUAAAAAAUAUUAGCACAUUUUUCAUUUUAUAUUUGAUUUAUGAAAAAAAACAAGAAUUUUAUACUCAUGAAAAAAAAAGUUUUUUUCAUACAAUUUUUUUUACAAAGAUAUUAUUAUAAUACUGAGUGGAAAUGUGAAUACAGGACCUCUUGUCUACAGAAACGUACAGGUGUUAAUUGAGCUAAACUCAUGUUGCCAAAAAUACAAUUAAUUAUCCUAAUCCUUUCCCGAAACAAAUACUAUAAAUAAUCCGCGUAAUCCUCCUAUUUUUUCCUUUCACUAAACAAGGAUUAUAAAUAAUCUCUCAUAAUUCUCCCACAUUACCCUUCCCCAAACAAUGAUUAUAAAUAAUUAUUUUCUUUUCAUAAUCUUUUUCCAUAUAAUUCCUUUCCCCGUCUUUUCCUUUCCUUCCCCCAAACAUCCCAUAGACAUAGAUAUCACUUCUUGAGAAGUGAGCAAAUAGUUAAAGUGAUGAAAAUUGGUAUUGUGCUAAUUUAAUUUGUUCAACCAAACCGACCCCACCUGACAAGUUUUAGCAUUGUUUUGACUUGCUCAAUGCUUUGAAUUGUUGAUUGUUCCUUAUAUGGGACGUUCAAAGGCACGAGGGUGAAGUCUAGGUACAUUUGGUAGUGUCUUGCCAUUGCGUCUAGCACACAUAAGUUAUAAGUUAUUUGUGAGAGAGUUCAAUUCAAGGUUGGGGUUUUAUUGGAACACUUUGAAUUUGUUGUAUAUCGCUUCGAAUGACCCAAAUAUAAGGAUGUUUGUGAUAUUUAUGUUUUAUGACCCAAAGAGAAGUUUGCUAUAUAAAUUUUCUAGGAUUAUGAAAUUCUAUAAUAUUUUCUUUAAUAAAAUUGUCGGUUUUCCUCUAUCUCGUAGACAUGUAUAACUAAACAUAUUGCUAGUAUAUAAGGUAAAUUUGUAGGUCGAUUCUCUACUUUUAUGUUUUUUUUGUUCUUUCUUUGUUCAUUUCAAAACAUGAACAUUCAUUGACUUUUGGAUGACGUCUCCAUUCCUUUAGUUUUCUAAAUUUUUGAGGUAAUUCGAUCUCAUCACUUUCUUUGGUUUAGUUAUUAGGUUUCACAUUUCUUGGUUGAUUUCUUUAGAUAAAAUUUAAUCCUAGUAGUUAUUCCAGAAAGAUAACUCUCAAUUCUAGUAUGUCUUCUGUAAUCAAGAACGUAACUAGAACAAAGACAUAAGGACAAAACUCAUUCUAAUCACUAUACUAAAACCAUACAACUCAUUCUAAUCACUAUACUAAAACCAUACAACAUACUGUUACAAUUUUGUAUUGCAAAUCACAUAACCAAUUGUUGUUUCACAAAGUUAGUUUAGUGCAAAGGUAUACAUAUAAUAGCAUGACGAGACACAUGCCGUGUCAAUAUGGAAGCAUGCAUGUAUAUAUAUAUGUAGAAUACAUUUAUAGAAACUACCUGUAAAGAAAACUAAUAUAAUAUUGUUACUGUGAUGGCUUAAGUAUAAAUUCAAAGCUAACAUUUUGAGAACUAUAUAACACACUCAAUACAAUGUUAGCUCCAUAAUGAAAUAUAAUAGUUAUCAAAAUCAAUAUUAAGUGAAUAUAAUCACAACAAUCCUUAACAACCUCAUAUAUAUGAUAGCGAUUCAGAAGUAGAUUGUUGGGUUGCCAUAUUAGGAGCAACCAAUAAAGGUCUUGGAGGCAUUUGCAAGGAGUGAAUGCUGCCUUCUAACAUCUCCAAAACUCUACUCAUUGUAGGCCUAUCUAUGGGAGAUGUUUGAAUGCACCAUAAACCUAUCAUAGUCAUUUUCUUUUCCAUUUCUUCUUCUUCUUCCUCCAUCAAACUUUGUCUCAUUCUUAUACUCUUACUCAUUUCAAUAUUCUUGAAUACCCAAUUUGGAAAGUACAUUUCACUAUCAUCAUCGGAUAACAAUCUUGAACGGUUAGGAUUAUUUCUUAUUCCUCCCAAUACAAGAUCAAGAACUAACAUCCCAUAACUAUACACAUCAGAUUUGUACGACACGAUUCCAAAUGCAGGACUAAAAACUUCUGGUGCGAUAAAUCCAGCUGUUCCUCGAGUUCCUAACAUUGAAAUUGCACUCACUUUUCUUUUGCAAAGCUUUGCAAGGCCAAAAUCAGAGAUUUUAGGGUUUGAAUCUUCAUCCAAGAGAAUGUUUUGUGGCUUUAUAUCAAAAUGCACUAUCCUUGUACUACAACCACAAUGUAAAUACUCUAAUCCUCUUGCCACACCUGUCACAAUUCUAUGAAGCAUUUUCAUCUCAUGAUUGUGACUUCUUGACAUGAAUCUAUCAAGUGAUCCAUUGGCCAUAAAUUCAUAAAUUAGAGCUGCUUUCCUUGAGGUAUAACAGAACCCUAAAAGACCAACUAUAUUGACAUGUGAAGUUCUACUAAUACUCAUAACUUCAUUUAUGAAAUCUUCACCAUUGGCUUUCGAUAACUUUAAAACUUUUAUGGCUACAAGAGUACCAUCAAGAAGUUUGCCUUGAUAGACAAUGCCAUAUCCACCUUCACCUAUUUUUGUUGAGAAAGAGUUUGUCAUUUUCUUUAUCUCUGAGUAAUGGUAUCUCUUUGGUCCAUAGUUUAUUAUGGAAUCUAUACCAUACUUUUUUCUAUUGGAUAUUGAUGAACUUUUGGUUGAUAGCCUUUUUCUUCUACGAAUGUAUAUGAUCAUAAUGCAAAAUAAUAUUGCAAUAGCCGAACCCAAACCAACACAAACACCUGUGUAAAAAAAGUGCUUGUUAAGUCUAAAUCAUCCAUGCUUUAGCCUUGAAAGUGCUCCAAUUAAUUGUAAAUGCAAUAAUUUAUCAUUUCAUCAUACCAAUGACAACCUUCAAGUUUCGAUUUCCAUCUCGAUCUCCUGCAUUUCAAGAAAAUUCAUUGUUAAGUAUACUGAGAUGCCAUAUCGAUCAUUUUUAUUUCUAUUGUUAAUAAACAAUUUUUAUGUCUGUGUGGUUGAUAGCCCAUAAUUAGUAUGCUUGUAAGCAAUACUUUGUUUUUUCAUUAUUAUUACUAUUCAAAAACUAUUUUUAAUGUGAUCUAUUAGCAAUCAUUUUUUUAUGUGUGUUGAUAGACUAUUUUUAGAUGUCAAACAUUGAUUAACAUCUAACUGCUUAUAUUAUUGCAUAUGUCAAUGGUAUAUUAGUUAGUGAUACAAUGUUAUAAUUAAUAUUUUUUGGGGCUAUUUUAAAGAAUAAUAUGAACAUGCAAACAAUAUAAUCACCAUAAAGGAAAAAAGAAAGGGUAAAAUAUUAUUGAUAUGCUAUUUCUUAAAACUAUACAUAUGGUGUAUCUUAGUGAUAAAAUAAACAAAUAAGCAUGCUACUCUCUCAUCUAAUAUAUAAACCGAAAGAGAAAUUUAAAUGACACCCAUAUAUAUAUAUAUCUCUUUUUGAGUAAUAAACUUAAUUUAAAGAAAGUGGUAUAAAAUUAAGGGGUUUUUUCUUUUAAAAAAUAUAACAAAACGACAAAAUAUUUAAUCAACAAUUUCGAAAACAGAAAUGCCUACAAUAGAAAAUACCAAAAAUGCCCCACAAUUAAUUGACAUCCAACUAGCUUAAUAUAUUUAGUAAAUGAUCGUUUAGAUUUUACUAUUCUUUCCACGAUCGUUUAGAUUUGAUUGUAAACAAUUUUUUUCAAGAUUCUUUGUACACAAUCUUUAAAUUUGACUAUUCUUUGAUACACGAUCGUUUAGAUUAAUAGUUUAAAUUUAAGUAGUCCAAUCUAAACAUUUUUUUUAAAGAUUUUUUGGUAGAUGACCGUUUGAUUUGAUACACGAUCAUUUAAGAUUUUUUUCAAAAAACAUAUAGUACAUGAUCGUUUAGAUUUAAUUAUUUAAAUUUGAGUAGCCAAAGCUCAACGGUUUUUCUACGAUCGUUUAUAUUUGGUACAUGAUAUUCCAACAAUCUUUUUUCAUAAUCUUUUAUAUUUGACACACGAUCUUAAACAACCAAAUAUCGGUUUGAAAAAAAGAUUAAAAAAAAAUAGAUCAUUUACAUUUGGUACACGAACUUGAACCAAAUAACAGUUUGAAAAAAACUAAAAGAAAAAUUGCAGAUGAAGAGAAAAAGACGAUGGAAAAGAAAAAUUGCAAAAGAAGGAGAUGGAAAAAGAACGGCAAAAAUCAAUAUUUAGUAAAAUUGCAGAAGAAGAGAAAAAGAUGAUGAAAACAAACAAAAAAAAUGGCAGAAGAGGAAGAUAAAGAAAGACGAUAAAGAGCAAAUCUAAAAUAUUUUUUUAAAAAAUGACCAGUAUCAUGGUUUUUUUAUUUUGUUACACAAAUAGUAAAUAUUUCACAAAUUUGUUAUAUUUAUGAAAACUAGCCAAAAACUAAUUGAAAUAUUAUGUAUAUUCAUAUUUUCUUCUAUUCAUAUAUACACUUAAUAAUUUGAAAAAUUGCAUUGACAAAAAACAUUUAGAAAAAACAUUAUCUUUUUUGCAUAGUACGAAUGACAAUUAUGACAAACAUUUAGAAAAAAACGGUCAAUGAUAUCUCUUUUUUGCAUAGUGCGAAUAUGAUACAUAUGACAAAUAAUUAAUGAUAUUAGACGACUAUCAAACAACUAUCAUAGGGUUAUCGACUUUUAAAUUUACUAAUUUUAUAAUUUAGAAAAUGUAGUAACAUGAGCCUUAUUAACAUAAAAUUCUUGCUAUUUUUACCAUCGCUCCUAAUAAUUUAUUAACAUGUAAAUGAUUAUUCAUAGAUGUCAAUUUCAAAUUCUAUACAAAUAUACCUUUUCUUUUUCACUACAAAAUAUUUGGGCUUUGAUCUCAAUGAAAGAACUAAAAACGAAGGUAAAAUGUCCUUUUCCUAAGAUAAAGUAAAAAAAAAGUUAAUUUUCAUAUAUAUAAAACAUGUAACAAAAUAAAAAAAAUUAUAAUAUUUUUAUAAAUUACAAGUUUUCUUUUGAUUAUUGUGGAUGAAUUUUUGUACUUUUUCUUCUCCUUUUUUAGGUUGUUUUAGAAUUUCUCUUUUUCGUCCUCUCUCAUCUUUUCUUUCUUUUUUCAGUCAUUUAAAUUUUCACUCGUUAAACGAUUGUAUAUCGGUCUAAACAUCUUGAACGAAGAUGGGUAUACGAUCAUUUAGACUUUUAUCGUAUUUUUUGAAAGAAAAAAACGCUGGUCUUUAAUGUGGUUUUUAGGUGGAUUCUAUCCUUUAUUCUACCCACACCCCCAAGCUUCCUUCAAGGUUUAUUUCCAUUUCCUUUUCUUCAAUAUGUUCUGUUCUUUUUGUUGCUCUUCCUGGAUCUUCACAUUCAUUUUUAUUUUACUUAAUGGGUCGUCUCAGGAAUUGAUAACGGGCUUCUUUAUAUUACACAUAGUAUUCGCUUUAUUGCUCUUGUUUGUUGUCACUGCAACUUCUUUAUGUGGUUAGUUGAUGCUGUGAGUUUUUUUCUUGACUGUUAUGCUAUUGAUGUUUAGUUCCUUUAUGUGAAUAACUUUACUAAUUAUGCUGCAUUCGAGGUUUUAUUCUGUUCUUGAAUUUCAAAGAUUAUAUUUCUCAGCUUCUAGCUUCCAUAUGAUGUUCUUCACUUUUUCCCUGCCUCCUUUCAUGGAACUCUUGUGCAAAUUUUUUUCAAGUUUCAACUAUUUCCUUCUUUAUUCAGGGUAGUAAUUGAAGAAUGCUUAAGGGAGGUUGUAGAGGAAAUAAAAAAUUGAUAAUAAAACAACAUUCAAAUUUAAGUUGUGGACUAAAAAUAAAAUUUAACUUAAAAAGAAAUGGAGAAUACUUCCCCGCGGACAUCUCUAAUUAGGACGAAGAUCAGGUCAAAGUUUCCGAAUUAGGGCUACAUACCCGGAGGAGAUGACGGAGCUCCACCGGCCUGAAGAUUCCUACAAGCUCCGUUGUCAAUAGAAUCGCCCACUCGACAAUAGCAAGUUGGUGAUAUCGCCGCAGUUGAAGAGGUUGCCUGCAGGAGCUGUAUAAAUCUAAGGAAGUUCCAAAGACGAAGGGAAGGGAAAAGGCAAAGAAAAGAAGGAAUGAGGAAAUUGGGGAAUCCAUGGAAGAAGAGAGAAGAGAUGGGUGGGUGUUCCAUUGGAGUAAGAGAAGAGAAGUCAUUGGUAUUGGACUGUGUGAAAGUUGACCUACAAAAGAUGAGAAAAUUAAGAAAU